CUUUGCUACAGGAAGAACUCCUGUUGCUUCUCUUGAAAAGAAUGCCUAAUUUUAAACACUUAAUGAGCUUGGUGGGGUGAUCCAAGGUUCUGAAGAUUUCCAUAGACUUAGAGCUAAUGAGAGCCAAGUUGUGGGCUGAUUUGUAUCAGUGGGAAGCUCUGCUUUUUGCUUAUCUAAGGAAUGGAGGAGAAGUGUAUAAUGGCUUUUUGCCUUGAGGCGAUUUUCAGGCUUGCUUUUCGUUAAGUAAAAGUCUUCUCUUUACCCCCAGGGCUUCCUACAGAUCAACUAUAGAUGGAGGCCUCCUUAAAGGAAAGAAAACAGACCCAGAGAAGUUACAAAAGAAGCAACCUGUUGAAGACCAAAUGGAGAACUGGCAACAGAGCAGAAUUAGAACUAAUGUCUUUUACCAACAAGACUAAUAUGUUUUCCAUGACCUAUAUCUACAAUUACUUCAUGCGUAAUUACAAUUACAAAUGACCUCCAAAACUUGCCUUCAUGUUUGAAUCAGAGGUCAUUGAUUGGCAGUUCUCCAGUGAGCAAGUUGUGUGAGACGUUUGAAGUGCUACCACACAGGUACUAUGAGAAUCACUCAAGAAUAUUUGAAAGGUAGGCAUAUACGGGCUAAGUACACACUGAAGUGUUCAUAAAAUAAAACGUUCAUAAAAUAGUUCA
rnacentral:lncRNA from 13 species